rnacentral:rRNA from 1 species
GCAGAUCUUGGUGGUAGUAGCAAAAAUUCAAGCGAGAGCCUUGAGGACUGGAGUGGAGAAGGGUUCCAUGCGAACAGCGAUUGGACAUGGGUGAGUCGAUCCUAAGAGAUUGGGUAAUUCCGUGAGAGAAGCACUAAACUGGUGCUAUCCAUCGAAAGGGAAACGGGUUAAUAUUCCCGUACCAAGCAGCGGAGUUUGUGCGGUAACGCAAAUGAACUCGGAAACAUCGGCAAAGGCCCUGGGGAGAGUUCUCUUUUCUAUUUAACAGUUCCGACAGCCGUGGAAACGAGUUAUUCGGAGAAGCGGGGGCGCGACUGGCAGAACAGUGCCUUCGUGCAUUGUCCGGUGUGCUUUUGUCGAUCCUUGAAAAACCGAGGGAAAAUAAAACUCUCGUCCUUGAUCGUACCCAAAACCGCAUCAGGUCUCCAAGGUGAGUAGCCUCGAGUCGGUAGACGAAGGUGGGUAAGGGAAGUCGGCAAAAUCGAUCCGUAACUUCGGGACAAGGAUUGGCUCUAAGGGUUGAUCUUGGAGAAAAAAAAU